AGGAAAAGAAACCAACAGGGAUUGCCCUAGUAACGGCGAGUGAAGCGGCAACAGCUCAAAUUUGAAAUCUGGCGCAAGCCCGAGUUGUAAUUUGUAGAGGAUGCUUCUGGGCAGCGGCCCGUCUAAGUUCCUUGGAACAGGACGUCAUAGAGGGUGAGAAUCCCGUAUGUGACCGGCGCGCACCCUCCACGUAGCUCCUUCGACGAGUCGAGUUGUUUGGGAAUGCAGCUCUAAAUGGGAGGUAAAUUUCUUCUAAAGCUAAAUACCGGCCAGAGACCGAUAGCGCACAAGUAGAGUGAUCGAAAGAUGAAAAGCACUUUGGAAAGAGAGUUAAAAAGCACGUGAAAUUGUUGAAAGGGAAGCGCUUGCAACCAGACUCCGCGGCGGUGUUCCGCCGGUCUUCUGACCGGUCCACUCGCCGCCGUGGGGCCAUCAUCGUCUGGGGCCCGUCGGAUAAGACCGUAGGAAUGUGGCUCCCUCGGGAGUGUUAUAGCCUGCGGUGAUGCGACGCGCCCCGGGCGAGGUCCGCGCUUCGGCAAGGAUGAGGGCGUAAUGGUUGCAAGCGGGCCGUCUUGAAACACGGACCAAGAAGUCUAACAUCUAUGCGAGUGUUCGGGUGUCAAACCCCUACGCGUAAUGAAAGUGAACGGAGGUGGGAAGCUUCGGCGCACCAUCGACCGAUCCUGAUGUCCUCGGAUGGAUUUGAGUAAGAGCAUAGCUGUUGGGACCCGAAAGAUGGUGAACUAUGCCUGAAUAGGGUGAAGCCAGAGGAAACUCUGGUGGAGGCUCGCAGCGGUUCUGACGUGCAAAUCGAUCGUCAAAUUUGGGUAUAGGGGCGAAAGACUAAUCGAACCAU
rnacentral:rRNA from 1 species